UGGGACCUGAUCACCGAACCUUAUCACCAUCAAUAGAGUCUCGUCCCUCAUACACACGAAAACAAGCUCUAUGUGUGCCGUUCACAAUUCCUCACAAUACAAUCGAUCAAUCUGUAUCCCUCUAUUCUCUUCUCUUCUUAAUCUGCUGUAGGUGCUAGCUCAUUCCCGUUCAAUAUAAUGUUGCUUCCUUCAGUCCGGAGGGUCCAGUUAAAUGCUUAUCAAUACACUCCUGCUCAAGUUUUACGAUAUACUAGCAAUACAUAACAAGUUAAAUUUCAUUUUAGGCUUAAAACCAGAACUAUUUUUCGAUCAAAUUAAGACUUAUGUAGCGAAUUUAUCAUAACAUAAUUUCGGUUACCUAACAAUUAAUCAUCUAAUGGAAGCAGAAUUGUAAUUCAUUUGAAGCUCGAGUUAUGGUUAUGCUUCCUUUCCAGCCCGUCUUUUUCCGAUGGCGUCAAGGUUCUUGCUGAUCAGGUAUGAGGCUUGGCUCUAUCCUUAUAUGCGCUUAAUAGACUACGGUUACUUCAACUAGGAGGAGAGUGGGAUGCUUAGCGCCCUUACCGGAUUAACCCGGUGCGAUGAUGAUGAGGGAAGGAUCCGGAGUUGCGCCCACAACUUGGCUGUGUAGUACGAUGACUCAAAGUUGUCAAACCCAUGGUUGUACCGUUUUUGCUUGAAUCUUAGUUCGUAUGUAACCGUAACGAUGCCCUUUCGGGAGAUCAAU
rnacentral:lncRNA from 1 species